rnacentral:rRNA from 1 species
UACGUAGGGUGCGAGCGUUGUCCGGAAUUAUUGGGCGUAAAGAGCUUGUAGGCGGUUUGUCGCGUCUGCCGUGAAAAUUCGAGGCUCAACCUCGAACUUGCGGUGGGUACGGGCAGACUAGAGUGUGGUAGGGGAGACUGGAAUUCCUGGUGUAGCGGUGGAAUGCGCAGAUAUCAGGAGGAACACCGAUGGCGAAGGCAGGUCUCUGGGCCGAUACUGACGCUGAGGAGCGAAAGUGUGGGGAGCGAACAGG